rnacentral:rRNA from 1 species
AAUGAACGUUGGCGGCAUGGAUUAGGCUUGCAAGUCGAGCGCGAUGUGUAGCAAUACACGGAAAGCGGCGGAAGGGAGAGUAAUACGUGGGAAUCUGCCCUUAGACCUGGGAUAGCAGCGGGAAACUGCUGGUAAUACCAGAUAACGUCUAUGGACCAAAGGUGUGAUUCCGUCUAGGGAUGAGCCCACGUCCUAUUAGCUAGUUGGUAGGGUAAUGGCCUACCAAGGCGAUGAUGGGUAGCGGGUGUGAGAGCAUGACCCGCCUCACUGGGACUGAGACACUGCCCAGACACCUACGGGUGGCUGCAGUCGUGAAUCUUCGGCAAUGGGCGCAAGCCUGACCGAGCGAUGCCGCGUGCGGGAUGAAGGCCUUCGGGUUGUAAACCGCUGUCGAGGGGGAGCAACUUCCAUAGAGUUAUCUUUAUGGAUUGAGUGAUCCCUGGAGGAAGGACGGGCUAAGUUCGUGCCAGCAGCCGCAGUAACAC